ensembl:lncRNA
CCCAUACCGGCAGCUGUGGCCACAUCAUGCACUCUCACUGCUGGCAGAGGUCUUUGAAUAUCAAUGAUGCAAACAGGGAGGAGAAAUAUAACAGAACGAAAGACCAACAAUCAGAAGCAGCAGAUCGCCAAGAUGGAUAUCUGGGGCGUCAGGAUGCCACCAAUGUUAGUGGAGUACUUUGCCACGUUGCGCCAACAGUCGGAAGAUUACCAAGCUGCGCUACGAAAGUAGCAGGACGCCAGGAAUUACCUGGGCUUCAACUUACCGCCUAUGUUCAUGCAGGACUACGCCAUGCUACGCCAACAGGAGGAGGAGUCCAGGUACAAGGGGGAGUUUGUGUUCAGUACAGAGACCCAGCCCGGGACCGACAGGGUGACCUCAGAGCUCGAACCUGAGCUCCACGGGGUGGGCUCACCUGCCGAGCUCCAGCAAAGGGUCAGCGGGGAGGCACUAGCACCAGGCUUUGAUGUCCGAGUCCCAGUCAAGUCUCAAGUCCCUAAGGUCCCAGCCAAGCCUCGCGUCCCUGAGGUCCAAAUCAAGCCUUGCGUCCCUGAGUUCACGUUCAGGCCUACUGACCCAAAUGACCAAAUGCCGCUCACGCCCAGCCAAGCUCCGCUCACGCCACAGUCCGCCGACACGCACAGCCAAGCUCCGCUCACGCCACAGUCCGCCGACACGCACCGCCAAGCUCCGCUCACGCCACAGUCCGCCGACACGCACCGCCAAGCUCCGCUCACGCCACAGUCCGCCGACACGGCCAGCCAAGCUCUGCCCACGCCCCAGUCCGCCGACACGGCCAGCCAAGCUCUGCCCAUGCCCAAGGUUCACAUAGUGACCUCAGAGCCUCAGCCUCCCCGUUCAGCUGAGGUCGUCGCUCAGCCUCCCCGUGCAGCUGAGGUCGUCGCUCAACCCGCCUGCUCCAUGGCAACUAGAGAUCCCCCCUUCUGCUUCGAGGAGACCCACGCUCCUCUCCCUGGCCGCACGGGGGACUUCUCUCAGCCUUCCAGUUCAGCUGGGGACGCUUUCAUGCUCUGCCGAGGAAAUAUCUCAGCCUCCCUGUGCCAUUGUAGAAGCCGCCCGGCCUCCUGAUUUUGCGGGGGACAUUUUCUCCAGGGGGCCAGGACCACCAGAUGGAGGACGUAUAAUUUUGGGCGCUCCGGGAGUAGCGCCCUUGGGGGAG